rnacentral:rRNA from 1 species
AUGAUCCCAAACAAAUUACUGUACAACAAAUUCAGUAAGUUAGCCGUCCCACAAGUGUAUGCUGGGAACACGGUGGUUUUUUGGCUUGAUCGCUGGCAGCUGGGUAAUAAUGUUGUCCUUUUGUGCGAGCAUUUCCCAAUGCUUCAUUCUUUUGUCAUUUAUGACACGGUCACAGUCAGAGAGUUUAUGGAGCAGCCGGAGGUCUCGGAACACUUCCAUCUGCCUCUGCCACAUGAGGCUUAUUUUGAGCUCACUCAACUUCAAGAUUUGCUGUCUUUGAUCAAUCUAAAUGUGGAGAGUAAGGACAUUUGGAAGUGGCCAUCUAAAUCUGGGGAGUUCAAAUCAAAGAUAUACUGGAUAUGA